UUUUAUUAAAUUAUAGGUGUUAUAUUUUAAAUUAUUUUUAGUUAAAAUAUUAGUUGUUUUAUUUUUAAGUAAAAAAUUUUUUUAUUAUAGUUUAUUAGUAGUGUGGAUGAAUUUUUCAAGAAGUCUCUAAGAAGAAUUAAUUUUUUGUACCUUUUGUAUCAGGGUUUAUUAAAUAUAAAAUAUCUAAUUUAUUUUUCUCGAAGUAAAAAGAUUUAAUUGGUUAUUGAUUUAAUUGUUUCAUAAAUUUUUAUAAUAGCUAAUUUGAAAUGAAAUAUUAUUCGGUUUUUAUUUUAUCUAGUUUUUAAAGAAAUAAAUUCAAUUUUGUGAUCUUUAAAUUUAAAUUUAAUUUUUAAUUUUAAUUUUUUUGAUUAUUAAUGUUUACAGGGAUAAGCUUGUAAAUAAUUUCUAUAGUAGGGAUUAUAUUAUUAAGGAGUAAGAUUAGAAAUUUCAAUCAUUGGUAAUAUUUUAUAAUUAGUUUUUGGGAAAAUUUAAUUUUUAAGCUUAUUUAGGUUAAGUAUUUAAUUUUUAAUUUUAAUUUUAUUUAUUAAGGAAUAAUGAUUGAAUUAGUAUAUUUAUAUGUUAUAAUAAAGGGCAUUUAUUUUUUAUGUUAAGGAAUUCGGCAAAUUUGUUUUCUCGCCUGUUUAAUAAAAACAUGUCUUUUUGUGUAUUAAUUUAAAGUCUAAUCUGCCCAUUGAUUGUAAUUUAACGGCUGCGGUAUAUUGACCGUACAAAGGUAGCGUGAUAAUUAGUUUUUUAAUUGAAAGCUGGUAUGAAAGAUUGGACGAGGAAUUUACUGUUUCAAUAUAUUUUUAUAAUUUUAUUUUUAAGUUAAAAAGCUUAAAUUUUUUCAUGGGACGAGAAGACCCUAUAGAGUUUAAUAUUCUUAAUUUUUUUUAGUAUUCCUAAUUUAUAAGAAUAUUUAGUUGGGGUGACUUAAAAAUUUAAUAAACUUUUUAUUUUGAAACAUUGAUUUUUGGAUUUUUGAUCUAUUUUAAUAAUUAAAGAUAAAAUUACCUUAGGGAUAACAGCGUUAUUUCUUAAAGAGUUCUUAUCAGAUAAGAAGUUUGCGACCUCGAUGUUGGAUUAAAAUUAAUAUUUGGUGCAGUAGCUGAUAUAUUAAGUCUGUUCGACUUUUAAAAUUUUACAUGAUCUGAGUUUAAACCGGUGUGAGCCAGGUUGGUUUCUAUCUAUGGAUAUAUUUUUUGAUUUAGUACGAAAGGACCAUUUAAUAGAUAAAAUAUUUAAUAUUUAUU
rnacentral:rRNA from 1 species